rnacentral:rRNA from 1 species
GACGAACGCUGGCGGCGUGCUUAACACAUGCAAGUCGAACGGAAAGGCCCUGCUUUUGUGGGGUGCUCGAGUGGCGAACGGGUGAGUAACACGUGAGUAACCUGCCCUUGACUUUGGGAUAACUUCAGGAAACUGGGGCUAAUACCGGAUAGGAGCUCCUGCUGCAUGGUGGGGGUUGGAAAGUUUCGGCGGUUGGGGAUGGACUCGCGGCUUAUCAGCUUGUUGGUGGGGUAGUGGCUUACCAAGGCUUUGACGGGUAGCCGGCCUGAGAGGGUGACCGGCCACAUUGGGACUGAGAUACGGCCCAGACUCCUUCGGGAGGCAGCAGUGGGGAAUAUUGCACAAUGGGCGGAAGCCUGAUGCAGCAACGCCGCGUGCGGGAUGACGGCCUUCGGGUUGUAAACCGCUUUCGCCUGUGACGAAGCGUGAAUGACGGUAAUGGGUAAAGAAGCACCGGCUAACUACGUG